AGCAACUGGUCCUUCAGAGAAGGCUUACUGGAGGAAUGGGACUGGAACUGAGGUCUGAAGGAUGUGUAGAAAGUGAGAAGAAGAAAUUGGGAUUUUGGAUAUGGAAUGCUUUCAGUUUCAAAUGACAGAAACCUUACUCAGGCCAGAGGAAGCAAACCAGGGAACUGUAUAACUGGGACGACUGGGUGAAGCUGGCCUCAGACACACAAGCAUUCAGGCUCCCUGAGUCCUCACCAGAAGUAGAUGCUGGCGCCACACUUCCUGUACAGCCUUCAGAACCAUGAGCCAAAAUAAAC
rnacentral:lncRNA from 1 species